AAACCAGCACCUCAAGUGGUCAGGAGGAUUAUUGGGCCUAAAGCAUCCGUAGCCUGCUGCAUAAGUUUUCGGUUAAAUCCAUACGCUCAACGUAUGGGCUGCCGGGAAUACUGUGCAGCUAGGGAGUGGGAGAGGUAGACGGUACUCGGUAGGAAGGGGUAAAAUCCUUUGAUCUAUCGAUGACCACCUGUGGCGAAGGCGGUCUACCAGAACACGUUCGACGGUGAGGGAUGAAAGCUGGGGGAGCAAACCGGAUUAGAAACCCCAGUAGUCC
rnacentral:rRNA from 1 species